CUACGGGGGGCAGCAGUGAGGAAUAUUGCACAAUGGAGGAAACUCUGAUGCAGCAACGCCGCGUGGAGGAUGACGCAUUUCGGUGUGUAAACUCCUUUUAUAUGUCAAGAAAAUGACGGUAGCAUAUGAAUAAGCUCCGGCUAACUCCGUGCCAGCAGCCGCGGUAAUACGGAGGGAGCAAGCGUUACUCGGAAUCACUGGGCGUAAAGGACGCGUAGGCGGGAUAGAAAGUCAGGUGUGAAAUCCUAUGGCUCAACCAUAGAACUGCACUUGAAACUUCUAACCUAGAGUAUGGGAGGGGAAGAUGGAAUUAGUGGUGUAGGGGUAAAAUCCGUAGAUAUCACUAGGAAUACCAAAAGCGAAGGCGAUCUUCUGGAACAAUACUGACGCUAAGGCGUGAAAGCGUGGGGAGCAAACAGGAUUAGAUACCCCAGUAGUC
rnacentral:rRNA from 1 species